rnacentral:rRNA from 1 species
UGGGGAAUAUUGCACAAUGGGCGCAAGCCUGAUGCAGCCAUGCCGCGUGUGUGAAGAAGGCCUUCGGGUUGUAAAGCACUUUCAGCGAGGAGGAAGGUGGUGAACUUAAUACGUUCAUCAAUUGACGUUACUCGCAGAAGAAGCACCGGCUAACUCCGUGCCAGCAGCCGCGGUAAUACGGAGGGUGCAAGCGUUAAUCGGAAUUACUGGGCGUAAAGCGCACGCAGGCGGUUUGUUAAGUCAGAUGUGAAAUCCCCGGGCUCAACCUGGGAACUGCAUUUGAAACUGGCAAGCUAGAGUCUCGUAGAGGGGGGUAGAAUUCCAGGUGUAGCGGUGAAAUGCGUAGAGAUCUGGAGGAAUACCGGUGGCGAAGGCGGCCCCCCUGGACGAAGACUGACGCUCAGGUGCGAAAGCGUGGGGAGCAAAACAGGAUUAGAUAUCCUGGUAGGUCCACGCUGUAAAACGAUGUCGAUUUGGAGGUUGUGCCCUGAGGCGUGGNUUCCGGAGCUAACG